AACAGGAUUAGAUACCCUGGUAGUCCACGCCGUAAACGAUGAGUGCUAAGUGUUAGGGGGUUUCCGCCCCUUAGUGCUGCAGCUAACGCAUUAAGCACUCCGCCUGGGGAGUACGGUCGCAAGACUGAAACUCAAAGGAAUUGACGGGGGCCCGCACAAGCGGUGGAGCAUGUGGUUUAAUUCGAAGCAACGCGAAGAACCUUACCAGGUCUUGACAUCCUCUGACAAUCCUAGAGAUAGGACGUCCCCUUCGGGGGCAGAGUGACAGGUGGUGCAUGGUUGUCGUCAGCUCGUGUCGUGAGAUGUUGGGUUAAGUCCCGCAACGAGCGCAACCCUUAUCCUUUGUUGCCAGCGGUCCGGCCGGGAACUCAAAGGAGACUGCCAGUGAUAAACUGGAGGAAGGUGGGGAUGACGUCAAGUCAUCGUGGCCCUUACGACCAGGGCUACACACGUGCUACAAUGGCGCAUACAAAGAGAAGCGACCUCGCGAGAGCAAGCGGACCUCAUAAAGUGCGUCGUAGUCCGGAUUGGAGUCUGCAACUCGACUCCAUGAAGUCGGAAUCGCUAGUAAUCGUGGAUCAGAAUGCCACGGUGAAUACGUUCCCGGGCCUUGUACACACCGCCCGUCACACCAUGGGAGUGGGUUGCAAAAGAAGUAGGUAGCUUAACCUUCGGGAGGGCGCUUACCACUUUGUGAUUCAUGACUGGGGUGAAGUCGUAACAAGGUAACC
rnacentral:rRNA from 1 species